UACGUAGGGUGCAAGCGUUGUCCGGAAUUAUUGGGCGUAAAGGGCUCGUAGGCGGUCCAUCGCGUCGGGAGUGAAAAGCUGGGGCUCAACUCCAGUCCUGCUUCCGAUACGGGUGGACUAGAGGUAGGCAGGGGAGAACGGAAUUCCCGGUGUAGCGGUGAAAUGCGUAGAGAUCGGGAGGAACACCAGAGGCGAAGGCGGCUCACUGGACAGGAACUGACACUCAACUGCGAAAGCGUGGGAGCAAACAGG
rnacentral:rRNA from 1 species